GACGAACGCUGGCGGCGUGCUUAACACAUGCAAGUCGAACGGAAAGGCCCUGCUUUUGUGGGGUGCUCGAGUGGCGAACGGGUGAGUAACACGUGAGUAACCUGCCCUUGACUUUGGGAUAACUUCAGGAAACUGGGGCUAAUACCGGAUAGGAGCUCCUGCUGCAUGGUGGGGGUUGGAAAGUUUCGGCGGUUGGGGAUGGACUCGCGGCUUAUCAGCUUGUUGGUGGGGUAGUGGCUUACCAAGGCUUUGACGGGUAGCCGGCCUGAGAGGGUGACCGGCCACAUGGGGACUGAGAUACGGCCCAGACUCCUACGGGCGGCAGCAGUGGGGAAUAUUGAACAAUGGGCGGAAGCCGGAUGCAGCAACGCCGCGUGCGGGAGGACGGCCUUCGGGUUGUAAACCGCUUUCGCUGUGACGAAGCGUGAGUGACGGUAAUGGGUAAAGAAGCACCGGCUAACUACGUG
rnacentral:rRNA from 1 species